GAUCAUGGCUCAGAUUGAACGCUGGCGGCAGGCCUAACACAUGCAAGUCGAGCGAGAAAGGUCUUCGGGCUGAGUACAGCGGCGGACGGGUGAGUAACGCGUAGGAAUCUACCUGGGUAGUGGGGGGACAACAUGGUGAAAACCAUGCUAAUACCGCAUACGCCCUAUGGGGAAAGCGGGGGACCUUCGGGCCUCGCGCUAUCAGAUGAGCCUGCGUAGGAUUAGCUAGUUGGUGGGGUAAAGGCCUACCAAGGCUUCGAUGGAUAGCUGGUCUGAGAGGAUGAUCAGCCACACUGGAACUGAGACACGGUCCAGACUCCUACGGGAGGCAGCAGUGGGGAAUAUUGCGCAAUGGGCGAAAGCCUGACGCAGCAACGCCGCGUGUGUGAUGAAGGCCUUCGGGUUGUAAAGCACUGUUCAGAGGGAAGAAAUGGCGGGGGUAAACACUUCGUUUUGACGGUACCUCUGAAGAAAGCACUGGCUAACUCCGUG
rnacentral:rRNA from 1 species